rnacentral:misc_RNA from 1 species
UGCAUGAACCGUAUAUAUAUAAUAUAUUACAUAUAUUUAAACCGCAUCCGGAUACCCUACGCAUGUUAUGUAUUAUACGUCAUGCGGCUGUCCAGAGAACCGCAAGGACGCAGUAUGGUAAAUUUGUACACAGAACUGGGAAGAAAGUUUUCAACAAUCAUCAUGUUUUCGAAUCAUAUCUACAUUAUAUUUGGGUCAGCAUUGAUAUCUUUGGCACAUGGUGAGGAUAUCCAAGUUUCCAAACUCUUCAUCCUGUCUAUAACUCCGGAAACAUUCAAUUGGAGAGUCGAUGAACGACACGAUCAAUUCCAGUACAAACCGUCAUUAUUGAACGCUCCAGAUCUGCCGCCAUGGAUACAUUACACGUACAGUAAGAAAGACGAGAGUGGUUACUUAUACGGAGUUGCGCCAUCGGAGCAAGAUAAUUUAACGCUAGAAGUUGUCGCUUUGAAUAAAAACAAUUACGAAACCAGACAUAAGAUCUUGGACUUCAAUGUCCUGAAGAAAGUAAAUCCUGCCAAAAAUGAGGUCAGACUAAAAAUUGAUAAUCUUAACGUCGACGACCUGUUCAACGCAACUCGGAUCGACCAGUUACUGGAUAUAUUCAAAAAUGACUUAUGGAAAGAUGCCUCGGAUCUCUACGUAACAUUUUUGGCAUCUGCGAUAGAAAUGGGAGCACGAUUACCACUGAAACCAGAAGAAGGCGAAGGAGUGGUCGUACGGCUUGGCAGCUCGGCUUCGUUCUCUCAAGAUAUGCUUACCUUACAGGAAGAAGUGAAACCUCUGCAAAAAGUAUUGCCUUGCCCUCGAUACUAUAAACGUACAAGUGUUGAGAGGUACUUUCGAUCGAGAGGAUUCAUUCUUGACUGGUGUUCCUUCAAAUUGAUCGAAGAGCAUCACAGUCAUCAUCAAGAGAGCGCGAGACGAGACCCUAACAUGGAUGUGACAAGAUUGCCGUCUUCGGAAAUAUCUGGACACAACGAAUGGCGUUGGGCAAGGCCUACGAAAGCUGACACGCCGACCAGAAGUUACUUCAAAGAGAUGGCAUCUACCGUUCUUAUUCCUGCCGGACUGUUAUUUGUUUUGGUCGGCUUUCUCUCAGCCACGCUGUGCUUUCACCAUGAUAAAGGAAUUGAUCCCGAGUCGCAUAGAUAUUUUCACGAGUUGUUUAACGUUUUCACCGGUCGGAAACAGAUGGCAAGGUGGUUCGCAUCGCAAAUAGGAUUUCUGUUCUCAUUAUUUCCGUGUGAGAGAGGCACAUGACACGUGCAGCGGUCCUAAUUAUACGUAUCUUAAAUGUUGUUAUGAUAACAAUUAACAAAUGUGUUUGAUUUUAACGACGCACGGUUGGAAUUAUCCGAGAUGCGCUGGAUUUACUACCGCCGAUAAUAAUACAGAACAAAUUUUGCUCCCGCUUUCCUUUUAAUCGAACGAAGCCCUAAAAGAGAACCCACUCCCGUCGAAGGACUCGGAAAUGGUUCUGAAGUUCAAAUGGUGCAGUAUGCCUCGUCUCAGAGAGGCACUCUGAGAUCUUUGUCAGCACAGCCAUCGAGUCCCAGCGACUCUUUGACACGUGGU